UACGGGGGGGGCAAGCGUUGUUCGGAGUUACUGGGCGUAAAGGGUGUGUAGGCGGUUGUUUAAGUUUGGUGUGAAAUCUCCCGGCUCAACUGGGAGGGUGCGCCGAAUACUGAAUGACUUGGAGUGCGGGAGAGGAAAGUGGAAUUCCUGGUGUAGCGGUGAAAUGCGUAGAUAUCAGGAGGAACACCGGUGGUGUAGACGGCUUUCUGGACCGUAACUGACGCUGAGACACGAAAGCGUGGGUAGCCAACAGG
rnacentral:rRNA from 1 species